ensembl:lncRNA
CAGUGGCGGAGCCGGGGGGUGGCUUACUGGGCUUAAGCCCGGGUUGUUUUGUCAGAAGCCCGGGGUCUUUUGGAGUGUAAUUUUUUCAUAGUUAGAUGUCUGGCUGACACUGUAUAAAACAAAAACUACACACAAUAUUCGAAGCACAUAGUGCACACUGUAGGAAUUUACGACUGUGCGUAAAUCCCCCCUAAUAUUGGUAUGAUCCGAGCUCAGACACUAAGCGGGGCAGCUGCUGCGCUGUUAGAGAAACGCAGCCAGGCAGACAGAGGAGAACUGAAGUUCGACCAGUUGUUACCCUCCACGGCUAAAUAAAUCGGUUUCAGUAAUGCACUGAUAUACAAGAAUGGACAUAAGGGGCUUCUUUCAAAGAAAAAACUCUGGUAGUAUUUUAUAUAUUAUGCUUUGUAUGUUGUUCAGUAUAUAUCUAUGCAAAACAAGAGGAAUUUCAAUACACAGCAGUAUAUUCACAGUUUAAACCAGAUAUUUACAUACACUUUAUGGAAAACACAAGAACAUUUUUUUACUGUACAACAUCAAUUUAGAGUAAACUUGUUUUGUUUUGGAUAAAUAAAUAUUGAAAUAUCUUUUGAAUUAGUUAAAUGUCAGAAUAAAGAGAGAGAGAGAGAGAGGAGUACAUAUACACUAAGUUUAUUGUUAAUUAAUAAGAAACUCCAGACGAUUCCAUUCUGAGCUGAAGAAGCUUCUGAUAGGUUAGUAGAGUCCAUGUGAGUAAAUUGGUGGCACACCUGUGGAUGCAUGUAAGGCGAAACACAGAGCCUGUUUCUGUGACAUGGGAAAACCAAGAGAUGUCAACCAAAACACUAGGAAAAGAAUUGUGGAGCUCCAUAAGUGUGGCUCAAGUUUGAAUACAAUUUGGUGCCAUUUACAAUUAAGAAAUACAGAUAGUUUCUCUCUUUACUCUUAAAGUUAACAAAUAUGUUUUUGGACAUUUGAGCUUAAUACAACAUAUGUUAAAACUUCACUUGUUUUGUUGUGGGGUUUUUUUUUAGUUAUGUCACACAGUGGAAAUUUGUAUUUAUCUUGUAUAUUGUUUUUAUUCUGAUUUUUAGUGUUUAUUUAUGAGUGUUUUAUUUGCAUGGUUUUAUUCUGUUUCUAUUGCAUGGUUUUUAGUGUGUUAUGUGACAUGGUUUUUAUCCACUGUGGACUGGCUGCACAUGGGACAAAUUAGCUGAUAGGGACCACCUGCUGAGGCAGGGGUGUGUCCAGAGGUGGCCUAUCAGCUGUGUAAAGACCUUUUAAAAACAGGCUAGCUGUGCACUGAAAGAGAGAGGCCCCAGACUGGAAGGUUAAUGCGAGAUGGCAAGUGUGAUGCGGCGACCAAGUCCUGACCUCAUGGAACGGCAACAGUAAGAGACAACGCGUGUGAUUGGCAGCAGGGCAGAGGUUUACCUCUGCCUGCAUUUGUGAGUAGGGUCUCUACUGUUGUUUACUGGGUGCAGCUGGAUUGGGAGAGGGUCACCAUGGCCAUGAGCCAGGGCCGCUUCUGGGACCAUUGUUCUGGCCCCUAUUUGUUAUGUUGCAGGACACCGACGCAAGGGGAGCUGUGGCGGUGGUCACAUCAUGGAUUCGGGUGCAGAACGCAAGCCGGGCUGGGAAGCGAUGGGCCAGCGGAAGGACAAGAAGAUGGGUGGCUCUUUCUUCUCUGCUGAAGACGGGGCUGGCGUGGACUCUGCUCUAAAGGAGGAAUUCCUGGCCUGCUGAUGGACCCAUAAUGAACAUGUGGCCUAAUUAUAGCAGGGGGGUUUUUAGUGAAUGUAGAAAAUGGUAGUUUUACGGGUUUUAGAAUUGUUUUUAGUAGAGGGCAAACAUUUUAUUACAUACAUUUUAAGGGUGUUUUUAUUUGUGCUCCCUGGCCUAGUAAUAAACUGUUUCUGAUCAGACCUGCUUCCUCUCUGUGCCCGUGGUAUCUGACUCGCUUGCUCCCCCUUGUAUUUUAAAGAAUCUUUCUUUUUAGCGUGGCAUUCUGGCGCGACCGCUUUAGUGUAUCCGCCGCGCGCUACAGUUAUUUAUUUUGUUUGUUUUUGUUUGUUUGCUUCUUGCUUUUGGUUGUUGCAUCUCCGUAUUUGCUGUUAUAAAAUGCAAAAUCUAAUAAAUACUUGAAUUAUAAAAAAAACAAAUAUGUUUUUUAUAUUUAUCAAUCUAAAAAUAAUUAACAUUUAGUCUGAUUUGAUGUUACAAUUAAAAAAGUGUUUUUAUCUGAAGAGUAUGUAAAUAUCUGGUUUCACCGUAUCAUAGGUACUCAUGUAUCUCAUACCUAGUGUUUCUUUUUAGGUUUGUUAUUUUUCAAAUUCUAUAUUUAUUAAGUUUUGCAGGCUUGUUUGCACAACAAGGCUAAAUAAUUAUAUAAACUUUUCUCAAUCGAAAUACUGUACUUUGGUAGAAUUAAAAAAACAAGUGUAGUGCAGGUCUAUGGUGAUUUUAGUGCUACUAUCAUCUAGUUUUGAUUGUGGUUCUGUUUUGGUUAAGUCCUCAGUAGUCCUGAUUUUGAACUGUUGUAGUCCUGUUUUAAUUCUAGAUCAGUUCUGGGUCUGGUUGAAUUGGGGUUUAGUCCUCGUGUCUUGAUACAGCCCCGACUUUGUUCUGCCUCGCUGCUUAAUUAAAAAACUAGUUUAAGGUGUCCUGCAUAUGUGAUAUAUUUUAUUUCCUAUAUGAAGUCAUUCUUUUUUUGAACAAAACUCAAAACAGAGCCUAUUAAUCUUUCAGUCAUUUCUACCCCCCCCCCCCCCCCCCCAAAAAAAAAAAAAAAUCCCACAUGCACACUACCCUUUUGGGCUAAGCCCCGGGUGUUUCAAAUGUCUGGCUCCGCCUCUGGUGUGGGGUCUGUCCACAGUCCAAAGACAUGCAGUUAGUGGGGUUAGGUGUGAAUGGUUGUCUGUCUCUGUGUUAGCCCUGUGACAGACUGGCGACCUGUCCAGGGUGUACCUCGCCUCUCGCCCUAAGGCAGCCAACAAAGGCUCCAGCCCCCCGUGACCCUGAAUUGGAUAAGUGGAAGAAAAUGGAUGGAUGGAAGUUACAGAGGCAACAAAUACAGCUGAAUGUUGUCUUCAGAGAGCUGCAGAGUCAGGAAAGAAAUGUCUGUUUCUUUCUCCGUGACUCUGAGUUACUGACUUUUAAACCUUGUUAGACUGAAGGCAUACCAGUAUAAAUACUGCAUAAAAGUCCACACGGGAACAUUUUAGUGAGACCUUAAGUGCAUUAGCAGUAAAUGUCAUGAUAAGCUGUGUGGCAGGCCAGGUUAGGACCCAAGCACUGGACUCGGAGACAGAAAGUUUAACUAAAGCCAGCAGCCUUAUUGCUGGAAAAUACAGUGACCGAAUCUAUAAGCUAGAACUACAAAUAUAACAGGAGCAGAACACAAUCAAGAGAACCAAAACCAUGACUGACGCCAAACCAAGGAAUAUAAACAAAACAAAAUAAAAAAAACUCGAACACUGGGUCACCAGACCGUGACAAAAUCAGAGUACAUCCAUGUGCUGCACAGCAAAAAAAAAAAAACAAAACAGUUUGGAAAUAAGAUUCCAACAUUUUCAAAGCCAGACCAUUGUCACAUGUCAGACAGAUUUCCCAGUUUACCCGAUGAAUAUGUGUGUAUUUAUCAUCUUUUAUAAUUCCCUCUCUCUUUUAUAAACUGACGCAUAUUGAUCCAAAUCAAUUUCAUGCACUUUGGGUUUUGCGUUUUUUUAAUUCAAAGGAGACGACUCGUCUUUAAUUUCAGCUAACAUGCUGUGCAGAAGAAUCAUGUUAGAAAAAAAAAGCAGAAUGAUGCAAGAGUAAUUAAUGCUUGUCUCCUAACCAUGGGAACAAACAACAAUGGGAGAACAGGGUCAUCCCACGCUGGUCCCACGAUUCAGUGUCAGGAAGCUUUAAGCGUAGACUCACGUUAACAGGAAGUGACUACACUGAAUUAUAUCUAGGAUUUCAGACUAAAGGUGGGAGGGUAGUGGGAUGUAAAGUUAAACACCUCCAGAGGGCUCAACAAAAAGUUGUUGCAUCAGCACCACCCACCUCCACAUCACAGCAGAAUGGGAGAAAACAGAGUGGGCACCUCUGGAUGUGUUGAGGUAAUCAGGACUCUUCUCAUCAAUGACAGUCUGAUUCUUUGUCUUCCUGUCUGUGGCCAGGAGGUCUGCUGCCUAUA